GCAGCCGCCGCGGGAAUACAGAGGGUGCGAGCGUUAAUCGGAUUUACUGGGCGUAAAGCGUGCGUAGGCGGCUUUUUAAGUCGGAUGUGAAAUCCCUGAGCUUAACUUAGGAAUUGCAUUCGAUACUGGGAAGCCAGAGUAUGGGAGAGGAUGGUAGAAUUCCAGGUGUAGCGGUGAAAUGCGUAGAGAUCUGGAGGAAUACCGAUGGCGAAGGCAGCCAUCUGGCCUAAUACUGACGCUGAGGUACGAAAGCAUGGGGAGCAAACAGGAUUAGAUACCCGUGUAGUCCCUGUCUCUUAUAC
rnacentral:rRNA from 1 species